AGUGUGACUACAUUUGGAGCGACUCAACGGCAGUGAAGGAUCAGUGGGCAGGGACCGCGCCAGGCGGAGGAAGGAAGGGAAGGCUCACGGUGCGCGCUGUGUCAAAAAAACCAGAAAGGAGUGUGGCGUCAGUGAGACUGGGGAUGCCCGGGUGUUGCUCUCUCUUUGGGUCUGAACAGGGGGGGAAAACAUCCCUCUCACCGUGUUUCCCAGCCCCUGACUGGUGGAAUCUAUGAGCGAAACACAUUAUUUUGAUCUGAUGGAAUCUGAGUUUUACUGGCUGCUGUGUUUUGCCUUCAAGUGGAGAAUCAUCACACCGUCUGGUUCGUGUUCAUAAAUGCUCCUGCAAUUUUUUGAGAAGUAAAGAGUCAGUUAAAUCCUUCUGAGGGACGCCAUGGAGAAUCCGGUCCUGGAGCCCAGAUCGGAGCGGAUUGCCCGCUACAAGGCUGAGAGGAGGCGAGAGCUGGCUGAACGCUUCGGCACAGUGGAGGAGCUUCCUUCUAAAUGGGUGAGGAGAGAUUCGAGAGAGGUGCACGAGCCAGCACACAGAGGGAUGUUUAACUCGGACGGCCGUGGUGAAAGAGUGAAUGGCAGAACACAAGCAGAGCUUACAAAUGGAUUGGAGGCAGACACUCCUCCAGAGACCAACUACCUGAGAAGCUGCCCUGAUGCAGGGCGAGCCACCUCCUCUCUGGACCUGGCUGUGAAGCCGGGCUCUGAGGGGAGCCGGCGACGCACUCGGCGUUACCUCCCAGGAGGGUCAAUUGGCGGUCGCAAGACCAGCGAACGCUUCAGGACACAGCCAAUCACAGCCAAUGAGAUGGAGGAGAGCAGCGGGUAGGGGCUGUUUGCUGUGGCACCUGGUCUGUUACUACCAAAGAAAAUGCUGUUUGCAGUGGGCUGUUUUUGGCGUGUUGAUAUUUUUAUCAC
ensembl:lncRNA